rnacentral:lncRNA from 1 species
AGCAUGCAAGACUGCUGCAUAGGUACACACAUGGCAGUGUGCUUUGCUUUUCUUCUGGUCAGAAGCAUCAGACACUGCAAAAAGGUGAAGUAA